UAACCUGCCCAAGAGAUCGGGAUAACACCUGGAAACAGAUGCUAAUACCGGAUAACAACAGAUGAUGCCUAUCAACUGUUUAAAAGAUGGUUCUGCUAUCACUCUUGGAUGGACCUGCGGUGCAUUAGCUAGUUGGUAGGGUAACGGCCUACCAAGGCGAUGAUGCAUAGCCGAGUUGAGAGACUGAUCGGCCACAUUGGGACUGAGACACGGCCCAAACUCCUACGGGAGGCAGCAGAU
rnacentral:rRNA from 1 species